rnacentral:tRNA from 1 species
GUCUCUGUGGCGCAAUUGGCUAAUGCGUUAGACUGUUAAUCUAAAGGUUGGUGGUUGGAGCCCACCCAGGGACG